rnacentral:rRNA from 1 species
GAGUUUGAUCUUGGCUCAGGACGAACGCUGGCGGUAUGCCUAAUACAUGCAAGUCGAGCGCAGGAAGCAGACUGAAGCCUUCGGGUGGAUGUCUGUGGAAUGAGCGGCGGAUGGGUGAGUAUCACGUGGGUAACCUGCCUGUAAGCUUGGGGAUAACUCCCGGGAAACCGGUGCUAAAUACCAGAUAAGAUUUCCGUUCGCAUGAGCGGAAAAUGAAAGGCGGCUUUGCUGUCACUUACAGAUGGACCCGCGUCGCAUUAGCUAGUUGGUGGGU